CCUACGGGUGGCAGCAGUGGGGAAUAUUGCACAAUGGGCGCAGGCCUGAUGCAGCCAUGCCGCGUGUGUGAAGAAGGUCUUCGGGUUGUAAAGCACUUUCAGCGGGGAGGAAGGCGUUAAGGUUAAUAACCUUGUCGAUUGACGUUACCCGCAGAAGAAGCACCGGCUAACUCCGUGCCAGCAGCCGCGGUAAUACGGAGGGUGCAAGCGUUAAUCGGAAUUACUGGGCGUAAAGCGCACGCAGGCGGUCUGUCAAGUCGGAUGUGAAAUCCCCGGGCUCAACCUGGGAACUGCAUUCGAAACUGGCGGGCUAGAGUCUUGUAGAGGGGGGUAGAAUUCCAGGUGUAGCGGUGAAAUGCGUAGAGAUCUGGAGGAAUACCGGUGGCGAAGGCGGCCCCCUGGACAAAGACUGACGCUCAGGUGCGAAAGCGUGGGGAGCAAACAGGAUUAGAUACCCUUGUAGUC
rnacentral:rRNA from 1 species